rfam:Drechmeria coniospora strain ARSEF 6962 chromosome 02, whole genome shotgun sequence.
GCCCGGUUAGCUCAAUCGGUAGAGCGUGAGACUCUUACUCCAGAGUACACGAAAUCUCAAGGUUGCGGGUUCGACCCCCGCAUCGGGCU